CCCUUAGAUGUUCUGGGCCGCACGCGCGCUACACUGACGAAUGCAACGAGCUUAUAACCUUGGCCGACAGGCCUGGGCAAUCUUUGAACAUCGAUCGUGAUCGGGAUAGAUUCUUGUAAUUUUUGAUCUUAAACGAGGAAUUCCUAGUAAACGCAAGUCAUCAGCUUGCAUUGAUUACGUCCCUGCCCUUUGUACACACCGCCCGUCGCACCUACCGAUUGAAUGGUCCGGUGAAAUCUCCGGACUGGCGUGAGUCGGAGCAAUCUGACAAACGCCGGAAAGUUGAUUAAACCUUACCAUUUAGAGGAAGGUGAAGUCGUAACA
rnacentral:rRNA from 1 species